rnacentral:rRNA from 1 species
GAUGAACGCUGGCGGCGUGCCUAAUACAUGCAAGUCGAGCGAACGGACGAGAAGCUUGCUUCUCUGAUGUUAGCGGCGGACGGGUGAGUAACACGUGGAUAACCUACCUAUAAGACUGGGAUAACUUCGGGAAACCGUAGCUAAUACCGGAUAAUAUUUUGAACCGCAUGGUUCAAAAGUGAAAGACGGUCUUGCUGUCACUUAUAGAUGGAUCCGCGCUGCAUUAGCUAGUUGGUAAGGUAACGGCUUACCAAGGCAACGAUGCAUAGCCGACCUGAGAGGGUGAUCGGCCACACUGGAACUGAGACACGGUCCAGACUCCUACGGGAGGCAGCAGUAGGGAAUCUUCCGCAAUGGGCGAAAGCCUGACGGAGCAACGCCGCGUGAGUGAUGAAGGUCUUCGGAUCGUAACUCUGUUAUUAGGGAAGAACAUAUGUGUAAGUAACUGUGCACAUCUUGACGGUACCUAAUCAGAAAGCCACGGCUAACUACGUG